GGGAAAGGCCGUACGCAGUACCCAUGCCAGAGGCCACGGACUCCCGUGUGACUGCAGGGGAGGCAAAGGGCCGGUGCUCCACUUAGGAGAACUGGCAAGCAGCCCUGCAAAGACCCACUUCUUCAGCCUUUUGUAUACAACUGCCCGAGAGAAGGAGGACUUUGAAAUGCAUUUAUUGCAAACUCCACGCACAGUCCAACACUCCACGGUCUGGUGGUUCCUGUCAUGACUUCUUGGGAAAUGAACCCAGAAACGGAAGCACGGAUGGAUGACGUCGCUGCCCAAGUGAAGGAUGACGUGAAGGAGAGAAGGAGCCAGGAUUUGUGGCUCUGCUCUCGACUGCUCAGGUCAGACAGAGGAAGGACUUGUGUGGAUGGUGAUGGUGUGAAAUGCAGUCGUCAGGCCCAGGGAACAGGUAAGUGAAGAGUCAAGAUGUAAGUAGCGUGAGAGCAGUAAAAGAGAGGCCAAUGGCAGAGUGAGGGGAGGGGACGGGACAGGGCCCAAUUCAGGAGACAUAGGGCCUGAACCAGAGGGAGACAAAACCCACCUAGAAAACCUAAACAAUCUGCUAUCUGCCGGCCAAAUAGCACCAUAGAUUCAGGCCGUGGCUGAGCCUCCACAUGGUUAACGGCAGAUGUGUGUGUGGAUUUGAGGGACUGGGGGAUUAGUGAAAAGGCUGGCCAGGGCUGGCCCUCAUCUUCCCGUUAGUAGUUCUGUGUUCAGAGAAAGCCCAUGCCGGGUUAGGGCAGUUUCUUCAGGGGACCAUGCUGAGCUGUAUGUUGGGAGUAGCGACCUGUAAUCCAAGGGGUGGAUUAUCCUAUAGGGCAGCGGGCUG